UAAUGCAAGGGAAGAACAAAUGGAUGUAAACUUGAAGAGGGAAGAUUAGUACAACUAGCUACAGAGACUAGAACAGUGCCUGGCCCAUAAGAUGCAAAGCAGAAAUCAAGAAGUGCAAAAUUCAAUCAUUAAUCAACCUUAGAUAAAGGAUCACCUUUCUCCAAGGAACUUGUAAUGACCCUAAGAACUUGUAAGCGUGGCUGUGUAAAUGGACUUGCUUGUGACAAGGGAACAAUUUCUGACAUCUUGAAAGUCUGGUCUCUUUUAAAUCACAUGGGCCCUAAGAUAAACUAGAAAGACAAUACUACUGGUCACAUUAACAUGACGCCUAUUUUUUUAAAUUGGACCUUGUGUGACUGUAUGCAAGUCCUCUAAGUUACCUGGGAUUCAGGUUCCUGAAUUACCAAACAAAUAAAAGCAGA